ACUGUCUUCCCUUAUUGCUUUUUGUCUUUUGAUAUAAUAUCCCUUGAACGUUAUCUAAAUAGUAGAGAAAUGAGCAAUUGACAAAAAGGAAGAAUUUGGAAGAAAUAUGCAAAUGCCCCACUUGCGCAAAACUUCAAAGUACUGAAGCAUUACACUGGGAAUCAAAGGAAAUGUCUAGACGCCAGUGAAGAUGCUGCGUAGACUGACCACGAUUGUUCUGGGGCCGUUCCUUGCAGCAGGAGUGGGGGAAAGAAGUAACAGGGACAAGGAAGAUGCAAAUGUAUGUGAAUAUAUGUGAUAUUCCAUUGAAUAACAGAAUAUGCAGAAUGUAGAAGAGCUCUCUCCGUUAAUCUCUACAACCCUAAGUGUUAGGGUCCGAGAUUCACAGAAGAGGGGGCUAAGGAUUAGAGCGCUGUGAGCACUCUGCCCAUGGUCACAUUAGAGCGCUGUGAGCACUCUGCCCAUGGUCACAUUAGAGCGCUGUGAGCACUCUGCCCAUGGUCACAUUGCUAGUCAUUGGUGAAGCUACCAUGACACCUGGGACUCUGAACCAAGAUGGAUUCUUACCAAAAGGAAGAGUGAAAAGCAAUAAUAGAAAAGUGUUCUCAGUUGGUUCUUAGUGACCCAAAACUCACAGACUUUGGGAUCUGAAGAUGGUCUUUAAAAGAAUAAAAAAUGGGAUCCAGGAUCUAUGGGAAAAUGUGACUUUGGUGCUGUUUUUGAUUAAUGCCCUAAGCAGACUAUGGAAAAGCCGCAUAAGCAAACAGAACAAUCUGGGGUUAGUUUAAUAAGAGGUGGGGGCUGAAAUUUGAGACUUAAAAAAAAAAGUCUUAAUGAAACAAAAUACAGCCAAGCACAUUCUUUCUUCUUCCCAUUUCAUUCGCUGCCUUUUAAGAUCCAGGCAGCAUAGCCUGUAUCCCAGCUGGGGGUAGGGCCUGGCUUUCAGCAAGCCUUGACAGGGAUCUCCCACAAAGCACUAGGAGAGGACCUGCCUUGGAAGCUCAUGCAUGCUCGGUUUGCACAAAGAAGCUGCAAUGUGCAGACAACCAUAAAUAAAACAGGAAUGGACAUGCCACAACGACAGCCCAUAGGAAUGGACAAUCCACGACAGCCCAUAGGGUUGGACAUGCCACAACGACAGCCCAUAGGAAUGGACAUGCCACGACAGCCCAUAGGAAUGGACAUGCCACGACGGCGGCCCAUAGGAAUGGACAUGCCACGACGAAACCCCUUCACCUUGCUGAUCUCUAACUCAAAGCCACUCUGCUCCAGGUGAAGCCUCUGCCUUCACCUCUGGAUAAGGAUUCCAUACUUGCAUCUUUAAGCUAGUUCGUGGGCAUCUCUACGGAAGCCAUCCGCAGGCAUCUUACAGACACAAGAUCAGGGGAGUACUCCCUACUUGCAGAUGCGCCUAAUGCCAAGCUGCAGCUCUACCUCUGCUUGCUACGGAGGUUUGAUUACUGACUCCUCUCAACUCUUCUACUUCCUCAUUGACAGAAGGGGAAUAAGACAGUGCUGGCUCCCUAGGAUGGUCAAAAGAACUGACAUAAGAUAAUCAGGGAGUGCGUGGUACAUGAUGCAGCUCCCACGGUCUGCCUGCUGCUGCGGAACCCCAUCCCCCUUCACUAGCCCUCCAUCAACAUCACAUCCAUGGGUGAGUGUUCGGCUCUGCACCUCUCUCUUUCUCAUUUUUAAUCAUUCAGCAAAAGAAUAAUUAUAUGGAAUUGAAUAUAGUUUUUUUGUUUCCAAACAGAGUCUGUCAAACUGAAUGGGUAACACAGGAACAACAGAUUUGCUUUGCAAUGGAAGUCGCUGGAACCUGAAACAAGAUGUGUUGCUGGCGAUGUAGCUCAAGUAGUUGAAUAUUUGCCUGGAAAACAUAACACAUUGUUCAUAGGCUUCAUUGUUCAACUUUCAGGUUCAAACUUAGUAGUCAAGAAAUGAUCAUUUAAAAAAAAUCUGAUUCAUUUUAGGUAAAAGGAAAAAUUAUCUUGAUUUUGCCCAAUACCUUGAGGAACAUUCUAUCUGAUCAUGAGAUAUCCCUAGGCUCAACUAUAAAACAUUUCUCAUGGCUUUGAGACAGGUGCUUGGGUAAAGCAAGCUGUAUAAACAGCAGCAGUAAAAACAAGCAAAACAGCAAAAUAAAGAACAACAAAGAUAAGAACAACCUGUACAUACCCUGCCCACAGAGAAGACAGUACAACAAGUGAUUGUAGCUGAACUUAGCCACUUUACGGCCAGUGCAAGCAAGCUCUGCCUCCUAGGCUAGGUGACCUUGCUCUAGUUCUGUAUACCUUGGCUUCCUCCGCAUAAAAGGAGAUUAAUGAUAGAAACAACAAUGUACUAAAGAUGAAGUUAGUAAAGGCUGAAGCAGUGACUCAGUUGGCAAAGUCCUUGUCACAUAAGCACAAGGAACUGAGUUUGAUCCCCAGAAUCCAGUUCUAGCACUGGGGUUAGACAUAGGUGGAUGACCUGGGUUUGUAGACCGCCCAGCCUAGCCUUAUCAGAGAGCCAUAGGCCAAAGAGACCCUGUUUCCAAGAAGAGUGAUAUCCAAGGCUGGCCUCUGUCCUGAACACCAGCAUAUGCCCACCUGUGUGUGCACAAGUACAACACACACACACACACACACAAGAUAAAGUUAAUGAAGCUAAAUGUGUGGCUCUUGCCAGUGAUCUAAGCAUCUGGGAGACUUAGACAAGACGAUUGCUACAUGUAUAAAGCCACCUUGGGCUAUAUAGUAAAUUCUGGAACUGCCUGAGCUACUGAUACCACAUCUCAAAUAUAAAAUUAAUAAAUACAUAGUAAUAGUAUUAGCUAUUACUUUAUAUAAGUCAAUUGAAAUAUUUGUACAACGUGAAAAUGAUAUUUGAGAUUGUGGCAUCAGUGAUAAUGAGGACAAAUGGACUUUAAUAAAGGCUACUUCUUCAAAUCUGCUUCAAAUCGAAUUUGUACUUGACAAAG
rnacentral:lncRNA from 1 species